ACAUCAAGUUGAAACACUGGUUCCUGUAUGAUCAGCGAAGUUAAGCAAGGUUGAGCCAAGUCAGAAUCUAGAUGGGUAACUUCUUGUGAAUAUCAGGUGUUGUAAG